CCUGACAGUUCGGCUGCAGACAGCCUGUCGAACCCAGCGCAUAGGUCAUGUAGGCUCAACGGUUACGGGACUGAUCGAAUCGGGCGGUACCGAAGGAAUUAUUAUCCAGCACAACGAUACAGAAUUUGUUUCACCAUGGACUCAUUCAGACGGUUUCAGGAUGACGACUAUAAAAACUGGAUUAAAACGACCAUGGGUCUGAAUUGUCUUAAAACGCGACUAGGAGGAUUCCUGGAACACGAAACCGAAACGUACCACGAUCACCUCCGAAACAAAGUGAACGCCAACAAAGGCGAUCUAUGUACAACACAAUGUAACCUGAAGAAAUGGAUGGCCAGGCCAAAGCAGGUGAUUAAAAUAUGUUCCUCAAGUGUGUGAAGUGUGCGAGCCAUGGAGAGAUGAGAUCUGGGCCAACCAUUCAUUUAAAGGAGGACAGGUCUACUGGAAUAACUCCAAGCCGUACCUGUGGCCUACGAAGAAAUGGGAGGUAGCCAAGGUCUACAUGCCCCGUGGAAAUAUGGACCACACCACUGUGGACCAAUUUGACAUCUCGGCCUUCCUCAAUCUCAUGACCCAAUGCAGCUACUUUGCCAAGUUUGUGAAGUCCAAAACUCUUAUCACACAGGUGACCAACGUGAGGAACCAGGUGAUGCACUCGGCUGACUUCCGGGUGGAGAAGAGGGAGUUAGAAUCUUACCUAGGGCGAAUCAAAGACCUGGGCCAGGCUCUGAAAACACACUACCCCAAAUUCAGUGAGCUGACAGAGGAGAUCGAACAGCUCCAGAAUACAGACUUCAGUUUUAUCACGAGCUGUGUUGGGAAGAAGAUUGUACUUGCGGCAGAUAAGAACCCAGAGAGCAUGCUGAAACUCCAGAACUUUCUGAGUCUGGAACAACAGAUACUGAAGGAAAAGUUGGAGUGUCUGUCCCAACGCUAUGAAGAGGACAGAGAGACAGCCCUUACUCUGGAGGAGUUGCAGUGUGUGAGGGUGUUUCUGGAGGGGAACAAUGACCUGCAGGAGAGCCUGGCGCCACAGUGGGAGAGACUGACAGAGGUGCAGGAAAGAGUGGACACACUCACCGUCAGAGUGGACACACUGGAGAGGAACACACGCACACACGAUCCUGAGUUCAGUACUGACAUCCUCAAAUAUAAGAACCAUCUGUAUGAGGAGGCCAGGAGGCAAGGGUGGCCUGAGCCUGUCUUCUCAGAGAUAAAGGAAGCCCUCGGUUACAGGGGUCGUGUGCAGGUGAGAGGUCAGACAUUUGAAGGUGUUCAGGUGUGCCCAAAGUCGAAGACAGCUCACCAGGAAGUGGCUAAACUGGCCCUGAGCCAGCUAGCCAAGGACAGUGCUAGCCUGGGUGAGCUAGCCAAUGACACAGAGGAGGGAGAGGCAUCCAGUAGCCAGACGGACCAACCACAAAGCCUCUCAUGCACAGGCCCCGUGUUCUUUGGUAGUGUCACUGUGGUCCUUAAAACUGACAUCACCUCUGGAGAGGGGCAUUCUGGAAUGACAGAGGCUGUUCAGUCUGCCUACAAGAAACUAGCUCUCCUGUUGGAUCUACCAGAAUCAGCUUCCUCCUAUAAGGAUGUGGUCCUGGAGCACUGUCAUACGCGGGAUGUCCCACCCCCAGAGGAGGCUGUCCAAUCUGAUGCAGAGGAGAAGACCUACCAAUGCACUCUUCGAUUCACUGGACCAAUCACCUUCUAUCACCCAGAGGGUUCUAGCAAAAAGAAACAGGCAUGUCAGCAGGCAGCUAAAGUGGCCCUCCAGCGGCUGUCCGGAGUCCUCGGCAGUAAGGAAGUGAUGGGAGGGAACUACGUGAGCACCCUGAAAGAGCUGCUGGAGGCUCAGACCCCACAACUGGACAAGCCUGCGUAUGAUGUCACAGACAGAGGAAGGGGAGCGGGGGAGGUCACUGAGAGGGGGGGGGGAGUGGAGGAACGUGGAGGGCUGACAAGUGGGGGGGGGGGGGGGCAAGAAGGAGAAAGGAGUGGGGUCAAGCGAAGGUGAGGGCUGCCCUCACCUCCCACCAGCUCCCAUGAUACAUAGCGUGCAGCCCCCCGAGAGUCAGGUGGUCCCAGUGUCACUCAUGGAAACCUUGGUUACUAUGGACCCCAUGGCUACCACAGCCCCCAUAAAUACCACAAUUACCAUGGAGACCCAGGGGGGAGGGGCCUCAGAGUCAGACCCUCGCCAAGCCACGCCCACCCUCCCAGAGGAGAGCAGCAUCUCUUCAGAUGGCCGGGGGUUCGUUAUGUGUGUGGCGGUACGUGUGCAGAAGGACCUCGACCCACACGAGGCCUCCUCUCGAGAGGAGGCGCUACAUGCAGCCUACUGCAGUCUGCUCCAGGGCCUGUCCCUGGGUCCGCCGCCUACAGCAGGCGGUGAGAAGCAGAGUGUGUUGGAGUUCUUCAGACGGGCAAAGUGUGACCCCCCAGUGGAGGACUGUGUAACAACAAUGGAGGGAAAGCACAGAUGCACUCUAAGAAUCGUAGGCGAGCUCACCUUCCACAGCACAGAGGCGGCCCCCAAAAAGCAGCAGGCAGAGCAUUGCGCAGCUAAGGAGGCCCUGAGGCGUCUGAAUGGGGUCCUGAGUGGGGUUUUGGGCGGAGACAUCGGCAGAACGGGUCCAAACUACAAGGGUAAACUCCAGGAGUUGCUGGCCAAGCAUGGAGGAGGAGCCAAGCCAGAGUACAAAAAUAUUGAGGCUAACAAGAUCAGAACAGGAGCCGGUUAGUCUGGACCUCUUUCUAUCUCCCCAUAGCUGCAGGUCAGGUGAUGGGAAACUGCUGCUGCUGGCUCUAAAAACUAACACAGCACUUAUUCCAUUAUUAAUACAUUAUCUUCUCUCUGUAUCUUUCUCUAUGUCUAUGUCUGUCUCUCUCUCUCUCUCUCUCCUGACUUCUAUCUAUCUCAUGCUCUCUCUCCCCACAGCUGCAAGUCAGAUGACUGGGGAAACUGCUGCUGUUGGCACUACUCUACAGGGUGACAAGUUGUCAAUUACCACGGAGACAACACCUGACGAUUCCGGCCCGCCUCCGUCUAAGAGAUCUGCAGGGGGAGAGAUGGAAGAAAUCCGGCGGUGUCUGGCACUGUGGAGUCUGCAGCCCCCGUGUGUGGUGUGUGAGGAUGUGUCUGUGGAGCAGUUGUGUAAGUGGAUGGUAGAGGUCCAACUAGACCGCCACGCCUUCCGGAACCAGACCCUGUUCAGCUCUAAGAAAGAGGCUAUCCGCUGGUCCUGCCACAGCCUGGGUACAGCAGGGGAUAUCUUCCAGCCUGGCACCGACGAGAGUAAGUCCACAGCGGUGGUGAAGGCUUUUUUCCUGCAGCGGUCGUUCCCGUUGCCUGUGGAGGAAGUAGCAGAACCAGAGAAGGGCAGGUUCUGCUGCAAUCUCAAAGACAUCACCUGUGUCUUCACUUACCGUGGAGAGGGUUCCAGUGAGGCUGCAGCAUGUCAGUCAGCCUACCAGAGGGCGCUGUCUCGUCUUGCUCCUUUCAUUGGCUACUGUGGUCCUGUGGCCCCACCCAGCAGCACUGAGGAUGCGAAGCAAAGGCUCAGCACUCUGUUGGAGGGGACAGCCCUUACAUCUGUGAACUCCGCCCUUUCAGAAACUCAGUACAGAAUCUCCGCCCAGCUUAGGUUCUCGGGGUACAGCAUGGAGACUGAAGGACAGGACAGUAGGAAAGCUACCAGAGCCCAACUCAGCCAGCGCUUACUGGGCCUACUUGGGGAGGAUGAGAUGGACUCCACAGCCUCGGUGAGGAACGUUCUAGAUGAGUGGUUUGCGAAGAAAGGUCUGGAGAAACCUGGAUUUGAGUACACUAAUGACAAGUUUGGGACAAAAGUCACCUUCUCUGCCCCUCUCAUCUGCUCCUACAAAGAGUGGCAAGCCAGCCGGGAGAAAGCUAAGAAGAAAUUAAUCGAUGAACUGCAGAGGCGGGUCAAAUACUUUUGUGACGGAAGCACCAACUGAGGGCCCACUGACCAAUCAUAAAAGAUAGUUUUACUUACCCUUGGCUCCUGCAUGAAACAACAAAAUGUCCUCUAUUUCCCAGUCUGGAUCUCUCUCUUCCAAGUUCCCUCUUUCUUUUCCUCUGUGUUUCAUCCGGCUAGUGGUGUUGGUGACAGAUGCGUCUGUCUGUAAUAGUAUGGCUUUAAUACUAUAUAUAAUUCACUCUUUGCAUGCACUGUUUUUACCACCAGGUCCUGAUAUGAAAUGAUCCUACAUUUAGCAGCUCUUAUUUUUUACUCUGUCUAGUAACAUAAUGAAUGUACUUCUGUGUAUUACAUUUUAAUCUGUAACAAUUACCGAAGUAUUUUAAUACUAAAUGAAAAGGCUCCUCUCUGAUAAUAAAAAAUACCCUCCACUACUUUGAA